rnacentral:sRNA from 1 species
GCCAGGCGCGGUGGCGCACGCCUGUAAUCCCAGCGGCUCGGGAGGCUGAGACAGGAGGAUCAAGAGUUCAAAGCCAGCCUCAGCAAUGGCGAGGCGCUAAGCAACUCAGUGAGAUCCUGUCUCUA